rnacentral:lncRNA from 1 species
CCACCUGCUCUCUGGCUGCCGCCCCGCGGCCACACAGAGAUGAUGUUCCUUUCACCUGGCCGAAGCCGGGGUUAGGGUCGGGGUCUGGAUGACCAGCACCACUCACAAACGCAGGCAGCCCCUCUGGGUCCGUGGCUGCCGGGGUCUUAGCUGGUAUUUGGACUAGACCCAGAGCGAAGAGGUGACUGUCGCUUUAACAAACCCUCUGGAAUCUCAGCUGGGACCUGGAAGGUGCUGAAAGAGCCAACCCACGCGCCUGCGUAUAGGCUGGUUGAGAGGCCCACCUCUCCCUCAUUGGCGCUAGGCCUCAACUGAGUCAUUGCUUUGUCACCGCCUUUCCCAGCGUGAAGAGGAGCAGGCAGAGCGUGAUCAGAAAGGCCAGGCCAAUGAGAAAUCGAGGAGGGCAUCGGGGGCGCACGUGCUCAGAACUCUGAUUGGAGGAUGGAAGGCACCGGCCCGGGAAAGGACCAAUGCUCUUGUAAACUGCAUGCUGAGGGUGAAUAGCCCAGCCUCCCACCCCAACCCCAUCCAGCAAGAGGCCAUGAUUUGUUCAUCCAGGGGAAAAGUGAAUUCUUUAAAAGAAAUUGUUAACUCCUCAAGAUCUGGGAGUUUGUCUUCUUAGUAUCCUCUAAGAAUUAUGAAGGUUUGAGAAAUGAAAAGAAAGAUCCAGAAGAAAUGGAGAAAAAUAACAGGAAAAUUCCUGAUUUCCUUGAAGAAAUGAUUUUUAAAUGAAAAUAAUUUAAAGACUUUUGUUCAAUGCCAG